AGAACGUGUGUACACAUUAUUUUCAGCGUCUAUAAAAGAUGGGAUAUUUUUUAAAAAACACUGCUCUAUUGUAGUAAGGAAAUGAACAGUUAUAUGAUGGGAAAGUAGAUAUAAAUGUGUUAAAGCAAUUAGAGAUGAACUACCUGAAGUAUUAAAUGCUUCAGAAGAAAUAGUUGAAUGCUCUAAUGAUCCAAAGUUAGUAAGUGA